AACGAACGCUGGCGGCAGGCCUAACACAUGCAAGUCGAACGAGAAGCCACCUUCGGGUGGUGGAAAGUGGCAGACGGGUGAGUAACGCGUGGGAACGUGCCUUUCGGUUCGGGAUAACCCAGGGAAACUUGGGCUAAUACCGGAUACGCCCUCCGGGGGAAAGAUUCAUGUGCCGAAAGAUCGGCCCGCGUCGGAUUAGCUAGUUGGUAGGGUAAUGGCCUACCAAGGCGACGAUCCGUAGCUGGUCUGAGAGGAUGACCAGCCACACUGGGACGGAGACACGGCCCAGACUCCUACGGGAGGCAGCAGUGGGGGAUAUUGGACAAUGGGCGAAAGCCUGAUCCAGCCAUGCCGCGUGGGUGAAGAAGGCCUUAGGGUUGUAAACCCCUUUCAGCGGGGAAGAUAAUGACGGUACCCGCAGAAGAAGUCCCGGCUAACUCCGUGCCAGCCGCCGCAGUAA
rnacentral:rRNA from 1 species